rnacentral:lncRNA from 1 species
UUCAAUCGUCCGCUCUCACAGAACCAAACACCGCCGGUUGCCGGAGGCUAAGAGCGAUCUCUGUAACUCCUCUCUCCGGAGACCCAAACACCCCCAGUCCCAAUCCUUGGCAGGAGACCCACUAUAUGUCUUUAAUCCACGAAUCAUCAAGAUUGAUGUAAGUUUAAGGGGUUUCUGUACUAAGAUGCUGUAAGUUUAAAAUUGAUGUAGGGACGAGAAAAAUCGAAAGUUAAUUGCUGUUUUCUUAGUUCUCUCUCUCUCUCUCUCUCUCUCUCUCUCUCUCUCUCUCUCUCUCUUCUCAUUAGGGUUUCUUGUUUUACCCUGUCUUCGUCUCUCCAUUAUUUCGAUGGCGUUUUUAUUUCUGUAAAAAAACUGAGUUUCUGGGGUUAAGUAACUGAACUAGUUUCAUUGCAUCUUAAAAGGGAAGGAAAGUACAGACUCUAGCUUUGUUGAUCUUUUCGUUGGGGAUUUUCAUCUUUUUCCUUUCAUUGGGAGUUUUGCUGUAAAAUCUAAUAUAGCGUGUCUGUUGUGUUUAGAUGGUUUUGUUCUAGUGAAAUCCAUUUUCUUUUUGUGUGUAUGUGAUCCAUUGUUUUCUUUAAUAUCUUGCUUAAUGUUUAUUGUGUUUCUUGUUUCUCUUCCAUUGCUUUGCUUUUACUGAUAAAAGAACUUUUGGUCAAAAUCUUGGAUCUACUCAUGUUUUAAACAUGUUAGGUUUGCUUACUUGAUUAAUAUUGGCUAAUAACAACACAUAAUCUGCCACAUUUAUGUAUUUCUACCUUUUUCAGCUAUUAUCAUCUAACAAAUCCUCUUUUUGUGGCUAUUUGAUAGAAUAACUUAACAGGAGCACCUAGAAAUCUGGAAAAAAAGCUCACCAUUAUACGAUGCAGAUGCAAAGGUAAGAAGCUAAACUAUACUUUAUUACGCUUAACUUUCAUGGCAUUAAACUCUCACUAGUUUCGUUUUAUUAAGAUAUUCUACUUGUAAUUUUAGCAUUAUACCUUUAAUUAUAGGGUUAUGUUUUCAAGAAUUAACCUAUUAAGAAAUUCUACUUUUUAUCUUUUUCCUUAUAAAGAGUACAUGAAGAUUUAGCCUAUUAAGAUAUUGUCCUUUGAAAUUUGAAACUUUUUGAUUUUGGUUACCAGAUUAUAGCAUACAACAUUAUAUUUUGAAAACCUUGUCGACUAUAGUAUUCUAACUUCAAUUGCAUUGUUUAAUUCUUAUAGUCUCACCAUCUAACAUAUUAAGAUAUUUUUCUUCUAGUUUUUUCAUGUUAAGAUUUCAUUAAUUUUUUAUUGAAUCAUUGUCUCAUUUAGGGCAUUAUACUUCCAAACUCUUUCUUGCUAAGAUGUUCUAUAAUUUAUUUUCUAUUAAGACACUCUACUUUGAAAAUCUUGUCACAAGUAGCAUUAUACUCUUUUUUUCUUAACAAGUCAAAACUAACCUAUUAAGACAUUGAUUUUUUCCAUUAAUUUGUUUCAAAUUUUAACAUUAUAUUUUCAACACUAACAAGUCAAAACUAACCUGUUCAAACAUUGUACAUUGAAAUUUGUUUGAUUUUGGUUAUCAGUUGUAGCAUUAUACUUUCAAUUAUUUUCUUUUUUUAAAGACAUUGUAGUUUGAAAAUCUAACCAAUUGAAGAAUUAUACUUUCGAUUUUUGUUGAGUUGUACUUCAGUUUUUUUUUUUCCUUUAAGAGAUUGUACUUUAAAUCUAAUCUGUUUCAAAAAUCUGUUUGAUUUUGUCACCAUUAAUGGUGGUAUGUAUCUAUUCUUUCAUAUUUAUAAAUUUUAGUUUUUUUUUUCCUAUUAGACAUGUACUUUGAAAAUAUAAAGUUGUUUUUGUUUACCAAUUAUGACAUUGUACUUUCUUCUAUAUUUUCUUAUUAACACAUUACAAUUCCUAUUGUUUUUUUUCCUAAUUAGACAUUUUCCUUAUAUUUUUUUCCUGUUAUGACAUUGUACAUUACAAAUUUACACUUUGUUGAUUUUUAGUGCCAAUUAUGGUCUUAAAUUUAUAUUUUUUUUUCUAUUAACACAUUGUACUUUUAUCCUUUGCGUAAAAUUAUAUUUUCAAUUGUAUCUUUAUACUUUCAAAAUCUAACCUAUUAAGACAUUGUAAUGUUGAUUGUUUUCUUGUUAAGACUUUUGCAAUUAUAGAAUCUAACUUAUAAUAAGACUGUAUUAUAAAAAUCUAUACUGUUUUUUUUGUUAGUGGUUAUAUCAUUAUACUUACAAUUUUUUUUUAUGAAAACAUUAUACUUAUAUUAUUUAUCUCAUUAAAACAUACUUUGAAAAUCUAACCAUUUGCAACAUUAUUUUUUUUCAAUUCUAAUAUAUUCUUUGAAUGCAACUUUUCAAGAAGUACUUUUGUUUUUUCUUUUUUUAUUAUUGUAGUUUAAAAAGAUCAACUUUAAUUUUUGUUACCAAUUGUGGCAUUAUACUAAGAAGACUAUAAUUUGUCCUAUUAAGUCAUUGUAUAUUUGUUUGAAUAAAACUAAACCUGUUUGAUUUUAUUAACUAGUUAACAUAUAUAUAUAUAUANNNNNNNNNNNNNNUCUAACCUAUAAAGACAUUAAUUUUUGAAAUUUUUUCCAUUUUGGUUGCCAGUUGUAUCAUUACACUUUCAACAUAAUCUUUUUUUUGUUAUUAACUAUUGCAUUACACAAUUUAAUAAGACAUUUUACUUUCAACUGUAUUUAGUUCAGACAUUCCCUUUUAAAAAACCGACCUACUAAGACAUUGUACUUUGAAAAUCUAAUCUUAUUUGGUUUUAGUUACCAAAUAAUAUCUCAUUUUUUCAUUUUAAGAUUUCACUUUGAAAAUCCCUUUUUAGACAUUGUAGAUCUGUUUUUUUAUACACUUCAUAAAUCUAAUGUAUUAUUUUUGUUUUUCUUAUUAAUACAUUACACUUUGGAACCUUAACGUGUUUACUUUUGGUAACCAAAUAGCGUUAUGCUUCUCAUUAUUCUUCCUAUUAAGAUGUUAUGUUUUUAAUAUGUAUCUUUAUUUUAGUUCAGCAUAAUAGUUAAAAUUAUUUAUUAUUAAUAUUAUUUGAAAAUCCAUCUUGUUAAGACGUACUUUUACUUUUUUUUUUCCUUGCAGCAGGCAAAAAUAUCAACUUUAAAUAUAUUACCAAUUGUGGGAUUACACUUUCACUUUUUUCUGAUUAAGACAUUGUAGUUUAUAAUAAUAUAUGCUAUAUUUUUUGUAUUAUGAGAUUAUUUU